AUGGAUUCUCUACAUGGUGGUUCGUCAAGGAUUCCUUUCAUCCUUCAAUUUUUUUCAAGAUUUCUCUCGAAGUUAAGAUCCGCCAAGCUAUACUCUAAAAUAAACAUGGUGCUUAACACAUGUUUUGUUUUGAGGAGUUCAAGAAUUCUUCAUCUUGCAUUAAUCUAUUCGUUGGAGUUAUCUUGUGUCAUAUUUCUAUCUCAUCUUUUGAGAUGGUGUUAUAUCAUUCUUGACAAUUUUUAUUCAUGUUUCGCGAUUCACAUGUUGUCAAGAAUGAGGUAUUUUAAAUCCAUUAAUCUAUUCGUUGGAGUUAUCUUGUGUCAUAGUUCACCUAAAGCCUUCCCUAAGGAAUGUUGCUAUUGUGGUGAUUAUCAAUGGUCCAAGAUAUCUCUCUAUCAUCUUGGUGGAAGAAGUUUUUCAUCUUGUUGGUGUUAUCAAUUAUAUUAUUUGUUUCUGUAG
rnacentral:rRNA from 1 species